rnacentral:rRNA from 1 species
GAUGAACGCUGGCGGCGUGCUUAACACAUGCAAGUCGAACGAAGCACUUUUACAGAUUUCUUCGGAAUGAAGUUUUAGUGACUGAGUGGCGGACGGGUGAGUAACGCGUGGGUAACCUGCCUCACACAGGGGGAUAACAGUUGGAAACGGCUGCUAAUACCGCAUAAGCGCACAGUACCGCAUGGUACAGUGUGAAAAACUCCGGUGGUGUGAGAUGGACCCGCGUCUGAUUAGCUAGUUGGCAGGGCAACGGCCUACCAAGGCGACGAUCAGUAGCCGACCUGAGAGGGUGACCGGCCACAUUGGGACUGGAGACAC